rfam:Polaribacter sp. KT25b genome assembly, chromosome: I
ACUCAACACUAUUCUAUUAUGAAGGAUGAGUCUUAACUACUAAAGCAUGCCUUUUAGCUUGAACUUGUUCAGCACUUUAAAAGGAUCCUUGAACAGUUAGUUAGUCCUAUAAAUGUCAUAUUGGAGUUU